AUUGAACGCUGGCGGCAAGCCUAACACAUGCAAGUCGAGCGGAUGACGGGAGCUUGCUCCUUGAUUCAGCGGCGGACGGGUGAGUAAUGCCUAGGAAUCUGCCUGGUAGUGGGGGACAACGUUUCGAAAGGAACGCUAAUACCGCAUACGUCCUACGGGAGAAAGCAGGGGACCUUCGGGCCUUGCGCUAUCAGAUGAGCCUAGGUCGGAUUAGCUAGUUGGUGGGGUAAUGGCUCACCAAGGCGACGAUCCGUAACUGGUCUGAGAGGAUGAUCAGUCACACUGGAACUGAGACACGGUCCAGACUCCUACGGGAGGCAGCAGUGGGGAAUAUUGGACAAUGGGCGAAAGCCUGAUCCAGCCAUGCCGCGUGUGUGAAGAAGGUCUUCGGAUUGUAAAGCACUUUAAGUUGGGAGGAAGGGCAGUAAGUUAAUACCUUGCUGUUUUGACGUUACCGGCAGAAUAAGCACCGGCUAACUCUGUGCCAGCCGCCGCCGUAA
rnacentral:rRNA from 1 species